GACGAACGCUGGCGGCGUGCUUAACACAUGCAAGUCGAACGGUGAAGGGGAGCUUGCUCCCUGGAUCAGUGGCGAACGGGUGAGUAACACGUGGGUAACCUGCCCCAGACUCUGGGAUAACACUUCGAAAGAGGUGCUAAUACCGGAUAUUUUGAUCGGAAGACAUCUUUUGAUUAAGAAAGAAUUUCGGUCUGGGAUGGACCCGCGGCCUAUCAGCUUGUUGGUGAGGUAACGGCGCACCAAGGCGACGACGGGUAGCCGGCCUGAGAGGGGGACCGGCCACACUGGGACGGAGACACGGCCCAGACUCCUACGGGAGGCAGCAGUGGGGAAUAUUGGUCAAUGGGCGCAAGCCUGAACCAGCAACGCCGCGUGAGGGAUGAAGGUCCUCGGAUUGUAAACCUCUUUCAGCAGGGACGAAGCGCAAGUGACGGUACCUGCAAAAGAAGCACCGGCUAACUACGUGCCAGCAGCCGCCGUAA
rnacentral:rRNA from 1 species